rnacentral:tRNA from 1 species
GCCAGUGUGGUUCAGUGGUUAGAGCAUCGACCAACCAAGGAACCAGGAGGUCACGGGUUCGAUUCCCGGUCGAGGGCA